rnacentral:rRNA from 1 species
AGGACGAACGCUGGCGGCGUGCUUAACACAUGCAAGUGGAGCGACGAACCAGGGCUUGCCCUGGGGCAAAGCCGCGAACGGGUGAGUAACACGUGGGUAACCUGCCCCGAUGACCGGGAUAACCCGAGGAAACUCGAGCUAAUACCGGAUGUGCUGCACGGCCUCAAGGCCAUGUAGCAAAGGAAGCUUCGGCCUCCGCAUUGGGAGGGGCCCGCGGCCCAUUAGCUAGUUGGUGAGGUAAAGGCUCACCAAGGCAACGAUGGGUAGCUGGUCUGAGAGGACGAUCAGCCACACUGGGACUGAGACACGGCCCAGACUCCUACGGGAGGCAGCAGUGGGGAAUUUUCCGCAAUGGGCGAAAGCCUGACGGAGCAAGACCGCGUGGGGAAGAAGGCCCUCGGGUUGUAAACCGCUUUCAGCAGGAACGAAAUGACGGUACCUGCAGAAGAAGCCCCGGCAACUACGUGCCAGCAGCCGC